CUUUACUUUCAAAAAGUUUCUUAAAGAAUAAGUGGUGUUUUUGUUUUUUUUUUUUACUUCUUCUCUUUUAUGUGGACAUUACCAUACUCAAGAGGGAGGGCAUUGGACAGUAUUAUAUAUUUGUAUAGGAAAAGGGUGAUGUGAGACCAGAUCUGAUUAUGUCUAUGGAAGAUUUCUAUUCUAUUAUUGAAGAUUUUGGAGAAUUACCUAUGGAAAUGUGAUUUCCUAAGGAGAGAAGUUAUUUUGUCUUUUCUGCCUGUCUCUGCAUCUGUCUGUUUCUGUUCUUUCCUUCUCCCCUUAUAUCAAGUAAGUCAAGUCUGUCAACAGUUUAAGGGCUGGUCCGGCCCGAUUCCACGAUUAGUGGGGUGGAGGGAUUUCACAAAAUCCGCGCCUCCAGGAAGGGAAACAGGGGACCCCAAAAUAAUUAAAAACAGCGGCAACGAUCUGAGGAGAAACUAACUAAUUUACUAAAUAUAGUAUCGGAAUGUAAGAUAACACACUAUAAUACAGUAUAAAUCAACAAUAAUUGAGAGGAAGAUUGUCCGAGAGCCAAAGGCCUUAUGGUAAUACUGAAGCCUUGCGUGCAGUCGGGCGCAGCAGUAGCGAGCCGAUCUGACAGGGAACACGGCGAGACGAGAAGAAAGGACGAGUCAGAUCACCUGCGCCCUUAUAUCUGUUCCCUUGAGCAGGAAUGAUAACAGUACUCGAAAAGGCUCUUGGGGAACGUAGUUCUUCUUCUCUUCCAGACAGGUACCCGGAACUAAAGCAUUUGCUCUUUAACUCCCAGUACCCUGCAUGAUGUGAUGUGGAAUACUGAUAACCAAAAAUCAUAAAACCAUGACAAAUACAUGUAAAGAACAUGCUGGGAAAAGCAGUUUGGGUCCUUCCAGCCUCUGGAAAGGGCAGACCUCUCCGUGGAGCUGUUUUUGCCCAGGGACCUGGGUCCACUUGGUGGGUGAUGCAGAAAGAUGGGGAUGUUCAAUGAGUACCACAAGGGAAGUGCAGACAAUAGUUCUAUGUAUAUGUAUUAACCAUGAUAUAAUGAUGUAGAAUAAGGGGUGGAAUGUCAUGGUUUUGUAACUUUGCUAUUGGUAUUUCACAUCAUAACAUCAUGGACAAAAGAGAAGAACUACUUAUCCCAGAGGACCUCAGAGUCCGAGAAGGAAGAUACAUCACAGAAGAUACGUCAUCUGGUUGCGCGCGGUCUUUUUC
ensembl:lncRNA